UACAGAGGGGGCAAGCGUUGUUCGGAAUUACUGGGCGUAAAGGGCGCGUAGGCGGCCUGCUAAGUCGAACGUGAAAUCCCCGGGCUCAACCCGGGAACUGCGUCCGAUACUGGCAGGCUUGAAUUCGGGAGAGGGAUGCGGAAUUCCAGGUGUAGCGGUGAAAUGCGUAGAUAUCUGGAGGAACACCGGUGGCGAAGGCGGCAUCCUGGACCGAAAUUGACACUGAUGAGCGAAAGCCAGGGGAGCAAACGGG
rnacentral:rRNA from 1 species